AUGAUCGAUAUAAACUGCAAAAUGAAACUCGAUCUCAGUUAAAAUUCUUGGAACAGUUGGAUCGUUUAGAAAAACAAAGAAAAGAUGAGGAGGAGAGAGAGAUGCUUUUGCGUGCUGCAAAGAGCCGCUCCAAUAAAGAAGAUCCAGAGCAACUGAGAUUGAAACAGAAAGCUAAAGAGAUGCAGCAGCUGGAAUUGGCACAGAUACAGCAGAGAGAUGCAAAUAUAACGGCACUUGCAGCUAUUGGACCUAGAAAGAAG